GAUGAAGAACGCAGCGAAAUGAGAUAAGUAAUGUGAAUUGCAGAAUUCAGUGAAUCAUCGAAUCUUUGAACGCACAUUGCGCCCCCUGGUAUUCCGGGGGGCAUGCCUGUCCGAGCGUCAUUACAACCCUCAAGCUCAGCUUGGUGUUGGGCCCCGCCGCCCCGGCGGGCCCUAAAGUCAGUGGCGGUGCCGUCCGGCUCCGAGCGUAGUAAUUCUUCUCGCUCUGGAGGUCCGGUCGUGUGCUCGCCAGCAACCCCCAAUUUUUUUCAGGUUGACCUCGGAUCAGGCAGGGAUACCCGCUGAACUUAAGCAUAUCAAUAAGCGGAGGA
rnacentral:misc_RNA from 1 species